rnacentral:rRNA from 1 species
CCCUUAGAUGUUCUGGGCGACCCGCGCACUACAAUGGCGCUUUCAGCGAGUUCCUAUGUUGAAUUUUCCUGGGUAUUCUUGGAAGCGGCGUCUUGACUUGGGAUAGAUCCUUGUAAUUGUUGGUUUUGAACGAGGAAUUCCUUGUAAUCGCGGUUGAUCAGCUCGCGUUGAAUACGUCCCUGCCCUUUGUACACACCGCCCGUCGCUCCUACCGAUGAAUCGUCCGGUGAAGUUCACAGAGUGGCGGUUCGUGGAGUUGCUCGCGAAGUGAAAUGGACCUCACGAUUUAGAGGAAGGAGAAGUCGUAACA